rnacentral:rRNA from 1 species
UACAAGUCGUAACAAGGUUUCAGUUGGAGAACCAGCUGAAGGAUCAUU